rnacentral:rRNA from 1 species
UACGGAGGGAGCUAGCGUUGUUCGGAAUUACUGGGCGUAAAGCGCGCGUAGGCGGCUUUGUAAGUUAGAGGUGAAAGCCCGGGGCUCAACCCCGGAACUGCCUUUAAGACUGCAUCGCUUGAAUCCGGGAGAGGUGAGUGGAAUUCCGAGUGUAGCGGUGAAAUGUGUAGAGAUCCCGAGGAAUACCAGUGGUGAAGACGGCGCCCUGGGCCGAUACUGACGCUGAGAUGCGAAAGCGUGGGGAGCGAACGGG